UACGUAGGGGGCAAGCGUUGUCCGGAAUCCAUUGGGCGUAAAGCGCGUGUAGGCGGCUCGAUAAGUCUGCUGUGAAAGUCCAGGCUCAACCCUAGGAUGCCGGUGGAUACUGUCGAGCUCGAGUCCGGAAGAGGGCGAGUGGAAUUCCUGGUGUAGCGGUGAAAUGCGCAGAUAAUCAGGAGGAACACCAAUGGCGAAGGCAGCUCGCUGGGACGGUAGCUGACGCUGAGACGCGAAAGCGUGGGGAGCAAACAGG
rnacentral:rRNA from 1 species